CGAUGUUGCCCAGGGUCAGAA
rnacentral:miRNA from 1 species